CCUACGGGAGGCAGCAGUGGGGAAUCUUGCGCAAUGGGCGAAAGCCUGACGCAGCCAUGCCGCGUGAAUGAUGAAGGUCUUAGGAUUGUAAAAUUCUUUCACCGGGGACGAUAAUGACGGUACCCGGAGAAGAAGCCCCGGCUAACUUCGUGCCAGCAGCCGCGGUAAUACGAAGGGGGCUAGCGUUGCUCGGAAUUACUGGGCGUAAAGGGAGCGUAGGCGGAUAGUUUAGUCAGAGGUGAAAGCCCAGGGCUCAACCUUGGAAUUGCCUUUGAUACUGGCUAUCUUGAGUUUGGGAGAGGUGAGUGGAACUCCGAGUGUAGAGGUGAAAUUCGUAGAUAUUCGGAAGAACACCAGUGGCGAAGGCGACUCACUGGCCCAAUACUGACGCUGAGGCUCGAAAGCGUGGGGAGCAAACAGGAUUAGAUACCCUGGUAGUCCACGCCGUAAACGAUGAGUGCUAGUUGUCGGCAUGCAUGCAUGUCGGUGGACGCAGCUAACGACAUUAAGACACCUCCGCCGUCGGGGAGGUACGGUCGGCGAAGAAUUAAAACUAACAAAUAGAAGUUAGUACGGCGUGAGACGUCGCCGAACGGACGACGACGAGGGAGGAGG
rnacentral:rRNA from 1 species